rnacentral:rRNA from 1 species
GCGGACGGGUGAGUAACGCGUGGGUAACCUGCCUCAUACAGGGGGAUAGCAGCUGGAAACGGCUGGUAAUACCGCAUAAGCGCACAGUACCACAUGGUACAGUGUGAAAAACUCCGGUGGUAUGAGAUGGACCCGCGUCUGAUUAGCUUGUUGGCGGGGUAACGGCCCACCAAGGCGACGAUCAGUAACCGACCUGAGAGGGUGACCGGCCACUAUUGGGACUGAGACACGGCCCAGACUCCUACGGGAGGCAGCAGUGGGGAAUAUUGCACAAUGGAGGAAACUCUGAUGCAGCGACGCCGCGUGAGUGAAGAAGUAGUUCGCUAUGUAAAGCUCUAUCAGCAGGGAAGAUAGUGACGGUACCUGACUAAGAAGCUCCGGCUAGAUACGUGCCAGCAGCCGCGGUAAUACGUAUGGAGCAAGCGUCAUCCGGAUUUACUGGGUGUAAAGGGAGUGU